rnacentral:rRNA from 1 species
GAUGAACGCUGGCGGCGUGCUUAACACAUGCAAGUCGAACGGUGAAGGCGGAGCUUGCUCUGCUGGAUCAGUGGCGAACGGGUGAGUAACACGUGAGCAAUCUGCCCCUGACUCUGGGAUAAGCGCUGGAAACGGCGUCUAAUACUGGAUACGAGCUGCGAAGGCAUCUUCAGCAGCUGGAAGGAACUUCGGUCAGGGAUGAGCUCGCGGCCUAUCAGCUUGUUGGUGAGGUAACGGCUCACCAAGGCGUCGACGGGUAGCCGGCCUGAGAGGGUGACCGGCCAAACUGGGACUGAGAAACGGCCCAGACUCCUACGGGAGGCAGCAGUGGGGAAUAUUGCACAAUGGGCGAAAGCCUGAUGCAGCAACGCCGCGUGGGGGACGACGGCCUUCGGGUUGUAAACCUCUUUUAGCAGGGAAGAAGCGAAAGUGACGGUACCUGCAGAAAAAGCGCCGGCUAACUACGU